UGACAGUUCGUGGUAAAAUAGCCAACCUGUUCGACAAAGAUUACGAGACAGUUUAUGGCUACCAAACUGCAGGACGAGAAUACACCUUGUCUGGCAGCUACACCUUCUGAACCACGUCCCACCGUGCUGGUAUUUGAUUCCGGCGUCGGUGGAUUGUCGGUCUAUGAUGAGAUUCGGCGGCUCCUGCCGGAUCUCCACUAUAUAUAUGCUUUCGAUAACGUGGCUUUCCCCUACGGGGAAAAGAGCGAAACGUUUAUCGUCGAGCGCGUUGUCGAGAUUGUGACUGCGGUACAGCAGCGCUAUCCCCUUUCACUGGCGGUGAUUGCUUGCAAUACCGCCAGUACGGUCUCACUUCCCGCAUUACGUGAAAAGUUUGCCUUCCCGGUAGUGGGCGUUGUGCCUGCGAUUAAACCAGCGGCGCGGCUGACCGCCAAUGGCGUCGUCGGGCUACUGGCGACGAGAGCGACGGUCAAACGUCCUUAUACUCACGAGCUGAUUGCGCGCUUCGCCAAUGAAUGUCAGAUAGCGAUGUUGGGGUCGGCAGAACUGGUGGAACUGGCGGAAGCUAAAUUACAUGGCGACUCGGUCUCGCUGGAAGAGCUGCGCCGCAUAUUACGCCCAUGGCUACGAAUGCCGGAGCCGCCUGAUACGGUCGUUCUGGGGUGUACGCAUUUCCCUCUAUUACGGGACGAGCUUUUGCAAGUCCUGCCCGAAGGGACGCGGUUAGUGGAUUCCGGCGCGGCGAUAGCGCGUCGUACAGCCUGGCUGUUGGAACAUGAAGUGCCGGAUGCAAAAUCAACCGAUGCCAAUAUUGCUUAUUGCAUGGCAAUGACGCCAGGAGCUGAACAAUUAUUACCCGUUUUACAGCGUUAUGGCUUUGAAACGCUCGAAAAACUGGCGGUUUAAUGGCGUUUUGGGUAAAUACCAGGCACUUGAGAAAUUAUUUUAAAUUUCCUCUUGUCAGGCAGAAAUAACUCCCUAUAAUGCGCCACCACUGACACGGAACAACGGCACACAGGCCGCCGGGUCAGCGGGGUUCAGACCAGAACCUCACGGAGAAAAGCGAAAAUAAACGCUUGACUCUGAAGCGGGAAAGCGUAAUAUGCACACCCCGCGCCGCUGAGAAAAAGCGAAGCGGCACUGCUCUUUAACAAUUUAUCAGACAAUCUGUGUGGGCACUCGAAGAUACGGAUUCUUGACGUCGCAAGACGAAAAUGAAUACCAAGUCUCAAGAGUGAACACGUAAUUCAUUACGAAGUUUAAUUCUUUGAGCAUCAAACUUUUAAAUUGAAGAGUUUGAUCAUGGCUCAGAUUGAACGCUGGCGGCAGGCCUAACACAUGCAAGUCGAACGGUAACAGGAAGCAGCUUGCUGCUUUGCUGACGAGUGGCGGACGGGUGAGUAAUGUCUGGGAAACUGCCUGAUGGAGGGGGAUAACUACUGGAAACGGUGGCUAAUACCGCAUAACGUCGCAAGACCAAAGAGGGGGACCUUCGGGCCUCUUGCCAUCAGAUGUGCCCAGAUGGGAUUAGCUUGUUGGUGAGGUAACGGCUCACCAAGGCGACGAUCCCUAGCUGGUCUGAGAGAUGACAGCCACACUGGACUGAGACACGUCCAGACUCUACGGGAGGCAGCAGUGGGGAAUAUUGCCCAAUGGGCCGCAAGCCUGAUGCAGCCAUG
rnacentral:rRNA from 1 species